rnacentral:tRNA from 2 species
GUGGGUAUGGCGCAGUUGGAAGCGCGCAAGAUUGUGGCUCUUGAGGCCGUGGGUUCGAGCCCCACUACUCACCCCA